UGGGGAAUAUUGCACAAUGGGCGCAAGCCUGAUGCAGCAACGCCGCGUGAGGGACGACGGCCUUCGGGUUGUAAACCUCUUUUAGUAGGGAAGAAGCGAAAGUGACGGUACCUGCAGAAAAAGCACCGGCUAACUACGUGCCAGCAGCCGCGGUAAUACGUAGGGUGCGAGCGUUGUCCGGAAUUAUUGGGCGUAAAGAGCUCGUAGGCGGUCUGUCGCGUCUGCUGUGAAAACCCGAGGCUCAACCUCGGGCCUGCAGUGGGUACGGGCAGACUAGAGUGCGGUAGGGGAGAAUGGAAUUCCUGGUGUAGCGGUGGAAUGCGCAGAUAUCAGGAGGAACACCGAUGGCGAAGGCAGUUCUCUGGGCCGUAACUGACGCUGAGGAGCGAAAGCGUGGGGAGCGAACAGGAUUAGAUACCCUGGUAGUCCACGCCGUAAACGUUGGGCGCUAGAUGUGGGGACCAUUCCACGGUUUCCGUGUCGCAGCUAACGCAUUAAGCGCCCCGCCUGGGGAGUACGGCCGCAAGGCUAAAACUCAAAGGAAUUGACGGGGUCAUAGCUGUUUCCU
rnacentral:rRNA from 1 species